rnacentral:misc_RNA from 1 species
GGAAGUGAAAGUCGUAACAAGGUCUCCGUUGGUGAACCAGCGGAGGGAUCAUUACAGGACUCGCAAGACUCCUACAACCCUGUGAACUUAACUAUAAGCACGUUGCUUCGGCGGGUGUCUCGGAGGGGGUUCUCCCUCCCCGAGACGCUAAACCCGCCGGCAGCCUACUAUACUCUGUCUCUUUGCGUUGGCAUCUCGAGUACAAUCAAACAAGUUAAAACCUUCAACAACGGAUCUCUUGGUUCUG